rnacentral:rRNA from 1 species
UACGUAGGCAGCGAGCGUUGUUCGGAGUUACUGGGCGUAAAGGGUGUGUAGGCGGCUCUCUAAGUUUGGUGUGAAAUCUCCCGGCUCAACCGGGAGGGUGCGCCGAAAACUGGAGGGCUAGAGUGCGGGAAGGGAGAGUAGAAUUCCUGGUGUAGCGGUGAAAUGCGUAGAUAUCAGGAGGAAUACCGGUGGUGCAGACGGCUCUCUGGACCGCGACUGACGCUGAGACACGAAAGCGUGGGUAGCAAACAGG